ACAGACCUGAGUGUGGCAGGACUACCCGCCGAACUUAAGCAUAUUACUAAGCGGAGGAAAAGAAAACAACCGUGAUUCUCUCAGUCAGCGGCGAGCGAAGAGGGAUCCAACUCGUUGCCGAAUCGGUUC
rnacentral:rRNA from 1 species